rnacentral:SRP_RNA from 1 species
AGCCAAGCCCUGAUUGGCAGGUUAAUACCCAACUCCGCCAGGUCCGGAAGGAAGCAACGGUAAGUAUCUAACCUGGGUGAUCGGCGGCUUGGCUUUU